CUUGAACACUAGGGGGAGAACUCGCGGGGUUUCUUCAUUCUACAUAAAGUUCGCAGUGGGGAAAAUUAAGCGAGUUUUCUGAUUUUUCAUCUCCCUCUUUUCAGGUUGACGUAAAAGAAGAAGUUCUGACAGCCCACAUCUUGAGAUCUGGCAGAUGGCUGCUACACAGGAAAGCUGUCACAAGGUCAGAAGGUCUCUUCCUGUCUACGUGGGAGGUUCUUGGCCAUAAUAAGCAGCAGAGGACCAGACUUUCUGUCAACAGUAAAAAGUCUGAAAGUUCAACCUUGUCUGCCCACUCGUGUCAGAACAAGGGACUCCUAUGAUGAGCAAUCACCAUUUGAUCUAACACCAAGGAACUGCAUUCAAAAUCCAUGAAGUUUAAAAAAAAAAAAAAAAAAAAAAUAGACUUUCAAAAUAGUGACUGUAAACCUUUGUGGUUGUGUGCUAAUAAAGCUUUUAUGAGGGUUUGAUGUUUGCUCUGGCACUGAUUUUAAUGAGUUUUGAAAGUUCUUAUACCUUAGUGUGCUCUACUUGAAUUAAUGAGGCAAUUAAUGAAGGUCUUUAAAAACUGGAAAUGCUUAUCUUAACGUAAGUCUGAGAUUAUAGAUGAUGUAAGGAUGAACACUUUUAUUAAUGAUGGGCAAACAGAAGUUUUCAGCUUCAAGUUGUUCUUCACUUCAUUUAGCAUCUAUUUAAUUGUUUUAAAUAUCAGAUUUUGAAAUUUGCAUUGUAAAAUGGUUUGCAUUAGGCAUUAAAGUAUAUGAAUGACCAAAAUGCUUCUCAUUUCAUUCUUGUUGUGACACCUUAUUUAUCUUUCAUAGUAAUUUCUAGGGCUACUAAUUGACGGAUGUUUUUUUUUUUUUUUUUUUCUCUAUGAAUUAGCCUCAGUGAAAGGUGUAUGAUUAAGCUGAUGAUCACCACAGGCAUUUUUCUUUGCAUAUUUAUUGGAAAGCAUGUUCUUAGUUUGCAUGAAACCUUUUAAAAAAUGACUGUAAAAGAUAAAAAAAUCCAACACAACACAUGUAUUCUAUAAUAGAAUGUCAUAACUGGUGGGAACAAUAGUGUGAGGUGCUUAGUUCUUAAUAAAAUGUCUUCUUUCAGAUAACUUCUGUCUGUUUUGAAAUAUGAUGUGAAACCAAAAUAAAAUAACAUCACUAAUAUCCAACCACCAAAACUCUUGGAAAUACAGCUGAUAAAUUGUGACUGUUGGCCUCCAUUUACAACUUGGUUAAUAUUGACUUUUUUGUUUUUAC